rnacentral:rRNA from 1 species
AAUGAACGCUGGCGGCGCGCCUAAUACAUGCAAGUCGAGCGAGAAGACGUAGCAAUACGUUUGUAAAGCGGCGAACGGGUGAGGAAUACAUGGGUAACCUACCCUCGAGUGGGGAAUAACUAGCCGAAAGGUUAGCUAAUACCGCGUACGCUCCUUGGACUUCGGUUCAGGGAGGAAAGCGAUACCGUGGGUAUCGCGCUCUUGGUUGGGCUCAUGUCCUAUCAGCUUGUUGGUGAGGAACGGCUCACCAAGGCUUCGACGGGUAGCUGGUCUGAGAGGACGAUCAGCCACACUGGCACUGCGACACGGGCCAGACUCCUACGGGAGGCAGCAGUAAGGAAUAUUGCGCAAUGGGCGAAAGCCUGACGCAGCGACGCCGCGUGGGGGAUGAAGGUCUUCGGAUUGUAAACCCCUUU